CCUACGGGAGGCAGCAGUGGGGAAUUUUGGACAAUGGGCGAAAGCCUGAUCCAGCAAUGCCGCGUGAGUGAAGAAGGCCUUCGGGUUGUAAAGCUCUUUUGUCAGGGAAGAAACGGUGAGAGCUAAUAUCUCUUGCUAAUGACGGUACCUGAAGAAUAAGCACCGGCUAACUACGUGCCAGCAGCCGCGGUAAUACGUAGGGUGCAAGCGUUAAUCGGAAUUACUGGGCGUAAAGCGUGCGCAGGCGGUUUUGUAAGUCUGAUGUGAAAUCCCCGGGCUCAACCUGGGAAUUGCAUUGGAGACUGCAAGGCUAGAAUCUGGCAGAGGGGGGUAGAAUUCCACGUGUAGCAGUGAAAUGCGUAGAUAUGUGGAGGAACACCGAUGGCGAAGGCAGCCCCCUGGGUCAAGAUUGACGCUCAUGCACGAAAGCGUGGGGAGCAAACAGGAUUAGAUACCCUGGUAGUCCACGCCCUAAACGAUGUCUACUAGUUGUCGGGUCUUAAUUGACUUGGUAACGCAGCUAACGCGUGAAGUAGACCGCCUGGGGAGUUACGGUUGCAAGNUUAAAACCGUUAAUUGAAUUGACCGGG
rnacentral:rRNA from 1 species